rnacentral:rRNA from 1 species
UACGUAGGGGGCUAGCGUUGUCUGGAAUCAUUGGGCGUAAAGAGCGUGUAGGCGGCCCGGUAAGUCCGCUGUGAAAGUCGGGGGCUCAACCCUCGAAAGCCGGUGGAUACUGUCGGGCUAGAGUGCGGAAGAGGCGAGUGGAAUUCCUGGUGUAGCGGUGAAAUGCGCAGAUAUCAGGAGGAACACCGAUUGCGAAGGCAGCUCGCUGGGACGUAACUGACGCUGAGACGCGAAAGCGUGGGGAGCAAACAGG